rnacentral:rRNA from 1 species
UCGCGAAUCAUUCACAAUGGACGCAAGUCUGAUGAUGCCACGCCGCGUGCGGGAUGAAGGCCCUUUGGGUUGUAAACCGCUGUCAAGGGAGGGGAAACACCUAGUGUUAACAGCGCUAGGCUUGACUGCUCCCUAAAGGAAGCCCCGGCAAAACAUGUGCCAGCAGCCGCGGUAAUACAUGCGGGGCAAGCGUUGUUCGGAAUUACUGGGCGUAAAGCGCGCGUAGGUGGUUAGUUAAGUUGGAUGUGAAAUCCCCGGGCUCAACCUGGGAACUGCAUUCAAAACUGACUGACUAGAGUAUGGUAGAGGGUGGUGGAAUUUCCUGUGUAGCGGUGAAAUGCGUAGAUAUAGGAAGGAACACCAGUGGCGAAGGCGACCACCUGGACUGAUACUGACACUGAGGUGCGAAAGCGUGGGGAGCAAACAGGAUUAGAUACCCACGUAGUCCCUGAGCGGGCUGGCAAGGCGCAU